rnacentral:lncRNA from 1 species
UUUAUAUAAUAAUUAAUCUCGAUUUUCUUCUUCUAUUGAUAGAACACUUUAAUUGCAUAUUCUCUUCAAUCUCAACAUUAACAAUUAACUACCCAAAAACAAUAAUUCAAUAAACUAACAAUAAUUACCAAAAAUUAAAUACAAAAUCAAACACAACUUAAAUAUGAAGGAAAAAAGUAUAAAGAAACAAAAAGUUUCUAAUCAAAUAUUCAGCUGUAAAUAUAGCCGUUAGUUACUGUCUCGCUCACUGGUAUCUGAGCAAUUCCUCCUAUUGCUUUUACAGAACCUCCUUCUUGUAUCAUUAAAUCAUCACCCAAAAUUCUUUUCCAACUCGCUAACAAACAAUGAACAUGCUUAAAAAAAAAAAAAAAACUCAAAAAAAUUGCAAUAAUUAGCAUGAAAAUGAUAUCUCGAAUAAAACACACAACAUAAAUAGGAAAAUUUACCAAACAUGUAAACAGCACUUAAUCUUGAAUUCCAUUCUAAUCUUACUUAUAAAAAUAAAAUUUCCCCAAUAUAAAACUCAAAAAGAACAACAAUAAUUACCAAAAAAUAUCAAACACAUAACAUAAAUACAAAUAUAAGAGAGCUCGGUAUCUUAGAUCGGAAGAUGGAAGAAAGUGAAUAAUAAAGUAAGACUUCUAACAUUUAGAGCGACAUGGACUGAAUGUGUUUGGGUGAUUGAUAAUCAAUGUAAAAGCCAACCCGUUGUUAGCAUCUAGCCAGUCCACAACAGAGGUAUUAUGAGAGCAAAGAUAUAGCAAAUUAUGAGUUUAGUGUUGAUGCAAAGCAAUUUUAGCCACGAGCUAGAGACUAAGCGGGAUGCUUUGUGUUCAUGGGAGAUGGCAGAGAAGAUUUUUCAAAUAGG